CAUGCAGCUGAUCCACAUCCUUCCUCCUCAGCGAGGAGUAUGAAUGAAUGAGGGAGGAGCAGUGCCAGUGGGCCAGAGGGCUGUGACAGUUGUGUGUUUUCAAGACAUGAUCUGGUUCCCUUCUUGAGCUCGUUUUUCGUUGGUGGUCCUUUCUCCCGGCUAUUUGUUUUAAACAAACUUCCUUUAAACCAGCUAUUUGUUUUGCUUGCCUUUUUCCUUUUUUUCCCCCUCUGUUUCAUUGUGUUACUCCUCCCUAGACCUCCAGUGAGGACGUGGCAGUUUAGUAUGCCACUCGAAAUGUCAUAGUGUAGCAUCCCAUAAAAAUAUCAAGAAAAAAUCCCAUAAACAUGUGAUAGUAUAUAUAUGCCAUGAAAAAUGUGAUGAUAUUUUUAUUUAAACAGUCAUAGUGUAGUAUGCCAAGUCCCUCUGUAACACACACCUUUAAUCUCUGGUAGUAUCCUACGAAAAUAAACUGAUGUGACACAUUUUGUUUUUUCUGAACAUUUUAUUGGUUUUCAAAAAAUGAAUAAAGUAAAAACAAAAAGACAUUUCCUCCAAAAUAAUUUCAAUGUUGAGGAACUGGACGAUUAAAACUGAGGAAAACUCAACCAGGGGACGGGCGGUCACAGUGACACCUCACACCCUCCCUGCUCCCCUUCCUUGGCCAGCGGAGGAGUCGGGGAGAAGCGGCUUUUAAUAUAUGAGAUAAAGCGACGGGAAAGCAGGAAAAAAGGAGGGGAUGAGAGAGGGGAGAACAUCUAUUUUCAACAGUAAAAACACCAACUAUGAAAACAGAAAUU